rnacentral:piRNA from 1 species
AAAGUAAAAGAAAAAUUUUGGUAG